GCUGCGCUAGCCGCCGCGCCACCAUGCCCCGCCGCUGGACGUCCUCGCCGCCGGCGGGAGCUGCUCGCUACGCCGCCGGCCAUGGCCGGAAUCGUAGCCGAGGACGUCGUCUAUAAGUUGGUCGUGAAGUCCAGAACCGGCAAUGCAGGCCCAUGAAGAAGUUCGUGAAGACCCAGCCCAAAGCCGCAAGUAAUACUAACCUUGCUCAGCAAAAAGCAAGCCCCGGUGCAUAACCCAAUAAUUUAAAAUUAUGAAAUAAUAUGUGUUUAUUACUUGUGCAUUACGUUUUCAUGAAUUGAUUGAAA